UAAACCCGAAAAUAAGCAGGCCCUAAUCACUCUGUCUGCAGUCUCCGUCUCUUCGCCGCCUACGCUCUCCUUGUGGCGUGUAUCUCUCUCCCCACUCCGCCACCAUUUUUAUCUCCUUCCGACCAAGUACGAGAGCCUCAUUGGAUGAAACAUGGGUACACAUUGGGAUUCUUGGUUUUUCUAGUUUGCUUGAAUCUCAGUUAGUUUAUCAUUCUGUUUAGUAGGGUUUGUAGAGGACCGAUAUUUGGUGUGUUUUAUUCGUCGACAUAUCCUGGUUUGAGGCUAUAGAGCAAGGGAUGGCGGCUUCUGCGAUCAAUUUUCAUUUCUCAUUGAGAAACGAGGUCUCUUUGUUAAGGGUGAGGAAUCAAGAUCGUGUAUAUGGCGGGAUUAGGUUUAAGAAUCGAAUCAAA